rnacentral:rRNA from 1 species
AUUGAGCGCUGGCGGCAUGCCUUACACAUGCAAGUCGAACGGCAGCACGGGGCAACCUGGUGGCGAGUGGCGAACGGGUGAGUAAUGCAUCGGAACGUGCCAUUGAGUGGGGGAUAACGUAGCGAAAGUUGCGCUAAUACCGCAUAUUCUGUGAGCAGGAAAGCAGGGGACCGCAAGGCCUUGCGCUCUUUGAGCGGCCGAUGUCAGAUUAGCUAGUUGGUGAGGUAACGGCUUACCAAGGCGACGAUCUGUAGCGGGUCUGAGAGGAUGAUCCGCCACACUGGAACUGAGACACGGUCCAGACUCCUACGGAGGCAGCAGUGGGGAAUUUUGGACAAUGGGCGCAAGCCUGAUCCAGCCAUGCCGCGUGAGUGAAGAAGGCCUUC